AGAGUUUGAUCAUGGCUCAGGACGAACGCUGGCGGCGUGCUUAACACAUGCAAGUCGAACGGAAAGGCCCCUUCGGGGGUACUCGAGUGGCGAACGGGUGAGUAACACGUGGGUGAUCUGCCCUGCACUUUGGGAUAAGCCCGGGAAACUGGGUCUAAUACCGAAUAGGACCGCAUGCUUCAUGGUGUGUGGUGGAAAGCUUUUGCGGUGUGGGAUGGGCCCGCGGCCUAUCAGCUUGUUGGUGGGGUAAUGGCCUACCAAGGCGACGACGGGUAGCCGGCCUGAGAGGGUGUCCGGCCACACUGGGACUGAGAUACGGCCCAGACUCCUACGGGAGGCAGCAGUGGGGAAUAUUGCACAAUGGGCGCAAGCCUGAUGCAGCGACGCCGCGUGGGGGAUGACGGCCUUCGGGUUGUAAACCUCUUUCAGUAUCGGCGAAGCUCCAGGAUUUUUCUUGGGGUGACGGUAGGUACAGAAGAAGCACCGGCCAACUACGUGCCAGCAGCCGCGGUAAUACGUAGGGUGCGAGCGUUGUCCGGAAUUACUGGGCGUAAAGAGCUCGUAGGUGGUUUGUCACGUUGUCUGUGAAAACUCACAGCUUAACUGUGGGCGUGCGGGCGAUACGGGCAGACUGGAGUACUGUAGGGGAGACUGGAAUUCCUGGUGUAGCGGUGGAAUGCGCAGAUAUCAGGAGGAACACCGGUGGCGAAGGCGGGUCUCCGGGCAGUAACUGACGCUGAGGAGCGAAAGCGUGGGGAGCGAACAGGAUUAGAUACCCUGGUAGUCCAA
rnacentral:rRNA from 1 species